UACGUAGGGUGCAAGCGUUGUCCGGAAUUAUUGGGCGUAAAGAGCUCGUAGGCGGUUCGUCGCGUCGGCUGUGAAAACCUGAGGCUCAACCUCAGGCCUGCAGUCGAUACGGGCGGAUUUGAGUACUGCAGGGGAGACUGGAAUUCCUGGUGUAGCGGUGAAAUGCGCAGAUAUCAGGAGGAACACCGGUGGCGAAGGCGGGUCUCUGGGCAGUAACUGACGCUGAGGAGCGAAAGCGUGGGGAGCGAACAGG
rnacentral:rRNA from 1 species